GAUCCUGGCUCAGAUGAACGCUAGCGGCAGGCCUAAUACAUGCAAGUCGAACGGUAAGGCUUUCGGGGGUACACGAGUGGCGGACGGGUGCGUAACGCGUAUACAACCUACCUUUCAGGGGGAUAGCCUGAAGAAAUUCAGAUUAAUACCGCAUAAAACAAUUGGAUCGCAUGGUGAUUGUUAAAGAUUUAUCACUGAAAGAUGGGUAUGCGUGACAUUAGCUAGUUGGUGAGAACUGCUCACCAAGGCGACGAUGUCUAGCUGGUCUGAGAGGAUGAUCAGCCACACUGGCUGAGACACGGCCCAGACUCCUACGGGAGGCAGCAGUAGGGAAUAUUGGACAAUGGGCAAGCCUGAUCCAGCCAUGCCGCGUGAAGGAAGACGGACCUCUGGUUUGUAAACUUCUUAGCAGGGAAUAAACGAUCACUAUAUGUGAUUCUGAAGGUACCUGCAGAAUAAGCACCGUAACUCCGUGCCAGCAGCCGCGGUAAUACGGAGGGUGCAAGCGUUGUCCGGAUUUAUUGUUUAAAGGGUGCGUAGGCGGUAUUGUAAGUCAGUGGUGAAAUCUUGCUGCUCAACAGAAAUUGCCAUUGAUACUGCAGUACUUGAGUCCAUUCGAGGUGGUUGGAAUGCGUAGUGGCGGUGAAAUGCAUAGAUAUUACGCAGAACACCUAUUGCGAAGGCAGAUCACUAGGAUUACUGACGCUGAGGCACGAAAGCGUGGGGAGCGAACAGGAUUAGAUACCCUGGUAGUCCGCCGUAAACGAUGGAUACUAGAUGUUCGGCAAAUUGAUGUUGAGUGUCUAAGGGGAAGAUAAGUAUCCCACCUGGGGAGUACGUCCGCAAGGAUGAAACUCAAAGGAAUUGACGGGCCCGCACAAGCGGUGGAGCAUGUGGUUUAAUUCGAUGAUACGCGAGGAACCUUACCUGCUAGAAUGCCUUUGACCGCUCAUGAAAGUGAGUUUUCCUUCGGGACAAAGUGCAAGGCUGCAUGGUUGUCGUCAGCUCGUGCCGUGAGGUGUUGGGUUAAGUCCCGCAACGAGCGACCCCUAUCCUUAGUUACCAGCAUUUAGUUGGGGACUCUAAGGAGACUGCCUGCGCAAAGUGAGGAAGGUGGGGACGACGUCAAAUCAUCAUGGCCCUUACGCCCAGGGCUACACAUGCUACAAUGGACGGUACAACGGGUUGCAACACUGCGAAGUGAAGCUAAUCUCUAAAACGUUCUCAGUUCGGAUCGGAGUCUGCAACUCGACUCCGUGAAGCCGGAAUCGCUAGUACGCGCAUCAGCUACGGCGCGGUGAAUACGUUCCCGGGCCUUGUACACACCGCCCGUCACCAUGGAAGCCGGGGGUACCUAACGUCGGUGGUCUAACCUUUUCGGAGGAGGAAGCCGUAGGGUAAAACUGGUGACUGGGGCUAAGUC
rnacentral:rRNA from 1 species